rnacentral:rRNA from 1 species
UACAGAGGUGGCAAGCGUUGUUCGGAAUUACUGGGCGUAAAGGGCGAGUAGGUGGCCAUCUAAGUCGAACGUGAAAUCCCCGGGCUCAACCCGGGAACUGCGUCCGAUACUGGAAGGCUUGAAUCCGGGAGAGGGAUGCGGAAUUCCAGGUGUAGCGGUGAAAUGCGUAGAUAUCUGGAGGAACACCGGUGGCGAAGGCGGCAUCCUGGACCGGUAUUGACGCUGAGGCGCGAAAGCCAGGGGAGCAAACGGG